AGACCCGAAACCCGGUGAUCUAGCCAUGGGCAGGUUGAAGGUUGGGUAACACUAACUGGAGGACCGAACCGACUAAUGUUGAAAAAUUAGCGGAUGACCUGUGGCUGGGGGUGAAAGGCCAAUCAAACCGGGAGAUAGCUGGUUCUCCCCGAAAGCUAUUUAGGUAGCGCCUCGUGAAUUCAUCUCCGGGGGUAGAGCACUGUUUCGGCCAGGGGGCCAUCCCGGCUUACCAACCCGAUGCAAACUGCGAAUACCGGAGAAUGUUAUCACGGGAGACACACGGCGGGUGCUAACGUCCGUCGUGAAGAGGGAAACAACCCAGACCGCCAGCUAAGGUCCCAAAGUCAUGGUUAAGUGGGAAACGAUGUGGGAAGGCCCAGACAGCCAGGAUGUUGGCUUAGAAGCAGCCAUCAUUUAAAGAAAGCGUAAUAGCUCACUGGUCGAGUCGGCCUGCGCGGAAGAUGUAACGGGGCUAAACCAUGCACCGAAGCUGCGGCAGCGAACGUAUCACCCAAGACAACUUUGCACAGUUGACGAUUGACGGAGCGAAGCGACGUCAAAGCGUUUUACAACGUCGAGUUGGCUUAGGGAUACGUUCGUUGGGUAGGGGAGCGUUCUGUAAGCCUGUGAAGGUGGCCUGUGAGGGUUGCUGGAGGUAUCAGAAGUGCGAAUGCUGACAUAAGUAACGAUAAAGCGGGUGAAAAGCCCGCUCGCCGGAAGACCAAGGGUUCCUGUCCAACGUUAAUCGGGGCAGGGUGAGUCGACCCCUAAGGCGAGGCCGAAAGGCGUAGUCGAUGGGAAACGGGUUAAUAUUCCCGUACUUGGUGUUACUGCGAAGGGGGGACGGAGAAGGCUAUGUUGGCCGGGCGACGGUUGUCCCGGUUUAAGCGUGUAGGCUGGUUUUCCAGGCAAAUCCGGAAAAUCAAGGCUGAGGCGUGACGACGAGGCACUACGGUGCUGAAGCAACAAAUGCCCUGCUUCCAGGAAAAGCCUCUAAGCAUCAGGUAACAUCAAAUCGUACCCCAAACCGACACAGGUGGUCAGGUAGAGAAUACCAAGGCGCUUGAGAGAACUCGGGUGAAGGAACUAGGCAAAAUGGUGCCGUAACUUCGGGAGAAGGCACGCUGACACGUAGGUGAAGUGAUUUACUCAUGGAGCUGAAGUCAGUCGAAGAUACCAGCUGGCUGCAACUGUUUAUUAAAAACACAGCACUGUGCAAACACGAAAGUGGACGUAUACGGUGUGACGCCUGCCCGGUGCCGGAAGGUUAAUUGAUGGGGUCAGCGCAAGCGAAGCUCCUGAUCGAAGCCCCGGUAAACGGCGGCCGUAACUAUAACGGUCCUAAGGUAGCGAAAUUCCUUGUCGGGUAAGUUCCGACCUGCACGAAUGGCGUAAUGAUGGCCAGGCUGUCUCCACCCGAGACUCAGUGAAAUUGAACUCGCUGUGAAGAUGCAGUGUACCCGCGGCAAGACGGAAAGACCCCGUGAACCUUUACUAUAGCUUGACACUGAACAUUGAGCCUUGAUGUGUAGGAUAGGUGGG
rnacentral:rRNA from 1 species